rnacentral:rRNA from 1 species
GACAGAGGGUGCAAACGUUGUUCGGAAUUACUGGGCGUAAAGCGUGUGUAGGCGGCUAUGUAAGUCGGAUGUGAAGCCCGGCUCAACUCGGGAAGUGCACUCGAUACUGCGUAGCUAGAGUACCGGAGAGGUGGUGGAAUUCUCGGUGUAGAGGUGAAAUUCGGUAGAUAUCGAGAGGAACACCGGUGGCGAAGGCGGCCAACUGGACGAGUACUGACGCUGGAGACACGGAAAGCGUGGGGAGCAAACAGGG